GCCGUACCUAGCCCAAACAGAACAUAACAAAACUACCAGUACCUAAUUAAUCAAAACAUUCACACCCUAAAAGUAUAGGAGAUAGAAAUUUUAAUUGGCGCUAUAGAGAAAGUACCGCAAGGGAACAAUGAAAGAAAAUUACCAAAGCAAAUAACAGCAAAGCUUACCCCUUGUACCUUCCGCAUAAUGAGUUAGCUAGACCAACUUAGCAAAGAGUCACUUAAGUUAAGAGCCCCGAAACCAGACGAGCUAUUCAUGAGCAGCCUAACAGGGCAAACUCAUCUAUGUAGCAAAAUAGUGAAAAGACCCAUGAAUAGAGGUGAUACGCCUACCGAGCCUGGUGAUAGCUGGUUGUCCAGCAAAAGAAUCUUAGUUCGAACUUAAGCCUACCUAAAACCCCUACAAUUCCAACUGUAGACUUAAGAAAUAGUCUAAAAGGGGACAGCUUUUUAGACACAGGUUACAACCUUUACCAGAGAGUAAGAACAAAAACACACCAUAGUAGGCCUAAAAGCAGCCACCAAUAAAGAAAGCGUUCAAGCUCAACAAUCCACCUCCCCACCCCCUCCCAAAAAUCAACUAUCCAACUCCUGGCACCUAAACCUGGACUACUCUAUAAAAACAUAGAAGAAACAAUGCUAAUAUGAGUAACAAGAAAUCACUUUCUCCCCGCACAAGUGUAUAUCAUGAACGAAUCCUCACUGAUAGUUAACGCAUGCAAACCCCAAACAAAUAGCAAGUCUUCUGCCCACCUAACCGUUAACCCAACACAGGAGUGCCUCCGGGAAAGAUUAAAAGGAGUAAAAGGAACUCGGCAAACAUAGACCCCGCCUGUUUACCAAAAACAUCACCUCUAGCAUCUCUAGUAUUAGAGGCACUGCCUGCCCAGUGACACACGUUCAACGGCCGCGGUAUCCUAACCGUGCAAAGGUAGCAUAAUCACUUGUUCUCUAAAUAAGGACUUGUAUGAAUGGCCACACGAGGGUCUCACUGUCUCUUACCCCUAAUCAGUGAAAUUGACCUCCCCGUGAAGAGGCGGGGAUUCCAUAACAAGACGAGAAGACCCUAUGGAGCUUUAAUUAAUCAACCCAAGGAAAUCCUUUCUCUCCCCACGGGAACAACACAACAUCCAACUUGGGUUGACAAUUUAGGUUGGGGUGACCUCGGAGCAUAAAACACCCUCCGAGUAACUACAAGCCCAGACUUACCAGUCAAAGCCACAUGACAAGUAUGAUCCAAAAUAUUUGAUCAACGGAACAAGUUACCCUAGGGAUAACAGCGCAAUCCUAUUCAAGAGUCCAUAUCGACAAUUAGGGUUUACGACCUCGAUGUUGGAUCAGGACAUCCCAAUGGUGCAGCAGCUAUUAACGGUUCGUUUGUUCAACGAUUAAAGUCCUACGUGAUCUGAGUUCAGACCGGAGCAAUCCAGGUCGGUUUCUAUCUGUAUUACGCUCCUCCCAGUACGAAAGGAUAAGAGAAGCGGGGCCCCCUUAAAACUAAGCGCCCUCAACAAACCAACGGAUGAUUCAAUCUUAACCCGACAUGUAGUAAUUACACUUGCCCUAGACCAGGGCUCA
rnacentral:rRNA from 1 species